GAUGAAUGCUGGCGGCGUGCUUAACACAUGCAAGUCGAACGAAGAUAUUUAGAAUGAGAGCUUCGGCAGGAUUUUUAUCUAUCUUAGUGGCGGACGGGUGAGUAACGUGUGGGCAACCUGCCCUGUACUGUGGAAUAAUCAUUGGAAACGAUGACUAAUACCGCAUGUGGUCCUCGGAAGGCAUCUUCUGAGGAAGAAAGGAUUUAUUCGGUACAGGAUGGGCCCGCAUCUGAUUAGCUAGUUGGUGAGAUAACAGCCCACCAAGGCGACGAUCAGUAGCCGACCUGAGAGGGUGAUCGGCCACAUUGGGACUGAGACACGGCCCAAACUCCUACGGGAGGCAGCAGUGGGGAAUAUUGCACAAUGGGCGAAAGCCUGAUGCAGCAACGCCGCGUGAAGGAUGAAGGGUUUCGGCUCGUAAACUUCUAUCAAUAGGGAAGAAACAAAUGACGGUACCUAAAUAAGAAGCCCCGGCUAACUACGUGCCAGCAGCCGCGGUAAUACGUAGGGGCAAGCGUUAUCCGGAAUUACUGGGUGUAAAGGGAGCGUAGGCGGCAUGGUAAGCCAGAUGUGAAAGCCUUGGGCUUAACCCGAGGAUUGCAUUUGGAACUAUCAAGCUAGAGUACAGGAGAGGAAAGCGGAAUUCCUAGUGUAGCGGUGAAAUGCGUAGAUAUUAGGAAGAACACCAGUGGCGAAGGCGGCUUUCUGGACUGAAACUGACGCUGAGGCUCGAAAGCGUGGGGAGCAAACAGGAUUAGAUACCCUGGUAGUCCACGCCGUAAACGAUGAGUGCUAGGUGUCGGGGAGGAAUCCUCGGUGCCGCAGCUAACGCAAUAAGCACUCCACCUGGGGAGUACGACCGCAAGGUUGAAACUCAAAGGAAUUGACGGGGGCCCGCACAAGCGGUGGAGCAUGUGGUUUAAUUCGAAGCAACGCGAAGAACCUUACCAAGGCUUGACAUCCCGAUGACCGCUCUAGAGAUAGAGCUUCUCUUCGGAGCAUCGGUGACAGGUGGUGCAUGGUUGUCGUCAGCUCGUGUCGUGAGAUGUUGGGUUAAGUCCCGCAACGAGCGCAACCCUUAUCUUCAGUAGCCAUCAUUCAGUUGGGCACUCUGGAGAGACUGCCGUGGAUAACACGGAGGAAGGUGGGGAUGACGUCAAAUCAUCAUGCCCCUUAUGUCUUGGGCUACACACGUGCUACAAUGGCUGGUAACAAAGUGACGCAAGACGGCGACGUUAAGCAAAUCACAAAAACCCAGUCCCAGUUCGGAUUGUAGUCUGCAACUCGACUACAUGAAGCUGGAAUCGCUAGUAAUCGCGAAUCAGCAUGUCGCGGUGAAUACGUUCCCGGGCCUUGUACACACCGCCCGUCACACCAUGGGAGUUGGAAGCACCCGAAGUCGGAAACCUAACCGUAAGGAAGGAGCCGCCGAAGGUGAAGCCAG
rnacentral:rRNA from 1 species